AUUGAACGCUGGCGGCAGGCUUAACACAUGCAAGUCGAGCGGUAGCACAGGGGAGCUUGCUCCCUGGGUGACGAGCGGCGGACGGGUGAGUAAUGUCUGGGAAACUGCCUGAUGGAGGGGGAUAACUACUGGAAACGGUAGCUAAUACCGCAUAACGUCGCAAGACCAAAGAGGGGGAACUUCGGGCCUCUUGCCAUCAGAUGUGCCCAGAUGGGAUUAGCUAGUAGGUGGGGUAAUGGCUCACCUAGGCGACGAUCCCUAGCUGGUCUGAGAGGAUGACCAGCCACACUGGAACUGAGACACGGUCCAGACUCCUACGGGAGGCAGCAGUGGGGAAUAUUGCACAAUGGGCGCAAGCCUGAUGCAGCCAUGCCGCGUGUGUGAAGAAGGCCUUCGGGUUGUAAAGCACUUUCAGCGAGGAGGAAGGUGGUGAGCUUAAUACGUUCAUCAAUUGACGUUACUCGCAGAAGAAGCACCGGCUAACUCCGUG
rnacentral:rRNA from 1 species